CCUACGGGGGGCAGCAGUGGGGAAUAUUGGGCAAUGGGGGAAACCCUGACCCAGCAACGCCGCGUGAAGGAUGAAGGCUUUCGGGUUGUAAACUUCUUUGAUCAGGGACGAAACAAAUGACGGUACCUGAAGAACAAGCCACGGCUAACUACGUGCCAGCAGCCGCGGUAAUACGUAGGUGGCAAGCGUUAUCCGGAUUUACUGGGUGUAAAGGGCGUGUAGGCGGUUCUGCAAGUCGGGUGUGAAAUUUCCGGGCUUAACCCGGACGGGUCACCCGAAACUGCGGAACUUGAGUACUGGAGAGGAAAGUGGAAUUCCUAGUGUAGCGGUAAAAUGCGUAGAUAUUAGGAGGAACACCAGUGGCGAAGGCGGCUAUCUGGACAGUAACUGACGCUGAGGCGCGAAAGCGUGGGGAGCAAACAGGCUUAGAUACCCGGGUAGUC
rnacentral:rRNA from 1 species